rnacentral:rRNA from 1 species
UGGGGAAUAUUGCACAAUGGGCGAAAGCCUGAUGCAGCGACGCCGCGUGAAGGAUGAAGUAUUUCGGUAUGUAAACUUCUAUCAGCAGGGAAGAAAAUGACGGUACCUGACUAAGAAGCCCCGGCUAACUACGUGCCAGCAGCCGCGGUAAUACGUAGGGGGCAAGCGUUAUCCGGAUUUACUGGGUGUAAAGGGAGCGUAGACGGCGAUGCAAGCCAGAUGUGAAAGCCCGGGGCUCAACCCCGGGACUGCAUUUGGAACUGUGUGGCUGGAGUGUCGGAGAGACAAGUGGAAUUCCUAGUGUAGCGGUGAAAUGCGUAGAUAUUAGGAGGAACACCAGUGGCGAAGGCGGCUUGCUGGACGAUGACUGACGUUGAGGCUCGAAAGCGUGGGGAGCAAACAGG